rnacentral:misc_RNA from 1 species
GAUGAAGAACGUAGCGAAAUGCGAUAAGUAAUGUGAAUUGCAGAAUUCAGUGAAUCAUCGAAUCUUUGAACGCACCUUGCGCCCUUUGGCUAUUCCGAAGGGCAUGCCUGUUUGAGUAUCAUGAACACCUCAACCCUCAUGGUUUGCCAUGACGGGCUUGGACUUUGGGGGUCUUGCUGGAUUGUAGUCAGCUCCCCUUAAACAAAUCAGCUUGCCAGUGUUUGGUGGCAUCACAGGUGUGAUAACUAUCUAUGCUUGUGGUUUUACAUCAGAUAACCUUCAGUGAUGGAGGUUCACUGGAGCUCAUAAAGGUGUCUCUCCUCUGUGAGGACAGCUCUUUGAAUGUUUGAUCUCAAAUCAGGCAGGACUACCCGCUGAACUUAAGCAUAUCAAUAAGCGGAGGA